CCAUGUUACAAACGACCUUUAAUCCAUCUGUCCGAUCCGAUCUGAUCCUCUCGCCUCUGUUUUGAUCUGUUCACCUCCUCGCCAUUGCCGGACAUGGGUGUUUCCUCCUGGGUUCCACCUUCUCUUCCCGAGUCCUCCGCCGCCGCCGCCUCAAGCUUGGUCCUCCUCGACAGGUGGUGCUACAUCGCCGACCUCCCCAACGACACCACCGCCGACAGCACCACCUACAGCGGCUUGCCCAUCACGGUGACCUUCCGCGCCGCCCGCCCGCCACUUCUCUCCCACUUUUGUGUCCACUGCCCUGGCCUGGACUUCCGCAGAAUAGGGCCCAAGAUCGUCGCCACCGACGCAGAUCUCGUCCUCCUCUGCGUCCCCGUCAACCCCAACAGCACCACCGGAGCAUCGGACUGGGACUACUUUGUCUACAGCCCGCGCGCCCAGUGGCUAGACCUGCUGCCCAGCCCGGACCCCAGGUGCCUCAACGACGCCGCGACCGCCCUCAUCAGCCGCCAAGACGGCGCCUGGUACGCCAUCGCUGCCCUCGGUCGUUGCUACCCCAUCUUCAACGGCCGCGUGCUCGUCAGGUGGGACUUCGACCUCCACCUCUACAGAUCCUCCUCAAUUUCCAAACGCUGGAUCACCAGGCGCUUGUCGCUCAAGGAGUUCGAGAGGGACAAGCUCAUCCCUUUACCUAUAGCAGUCGGCAGGCACAAGCUCUAUCACAUGACGGGGAAGACCAUCACGAUUGGUGGCGAGCAUGGCACCGUCGCCUGGGUGGACCUCUGGCGCGGCAUCUUCUUCUGCGACGUGCUCAAGAGACGCCCGCUGCUCCAGGAUGUCCCGCUGCCGGUGCCGGCAAGGGCUAACUGGGAUCGCCUCCUCAGAAAUUCUGAGCCCAACUUCCUGCGGGACGUAACUAUCAGCCGAAACAACGGCUCGAUGAUCAAGUAUGUCGAGCUGGAAUUCCGGCCACCGCAAGAGCUCCACGCCGCCACCGCUCCUGUUUCCUACGCUGACUGGGUGCGCAGUACCAACUCUACUAGGAUAUCUCAGGUCAUCCCUCAUGGCUGGAAGUCCACCAUAUGGAACAUGGCAAUACCGGUUGGUUGUUCGUCCGAGGGCUGGCACCGUGAAUGUGUAGUUGACGUUAAAGACGUCAGCUUGGAUCCAUGUCUUUCGGAUGUCAUGGCGAUGCUGAGCAGCAAGACCUUGCAGGAACUUCCAGUGGGAUACCCCAUCCUAAGCAUGGAUGAUGAUGUCGUUUACUUGCUUUCUCAAACCAUGGACAAGUUGCGAGUGAUGUUUGCUAUUGAUGUGAGGAAGGCAACAUUGCGAGGAUUGGCUGAGAUUGAUGUCCAGAAGCUCCUUUUCUUGACCAACCUCUGCUUUACUAGUGAGAUCUGCAGGGGUACCUGACCAAUAUUAAGUGUUGGAAUUAUGUGAAAUCAAUACUAAACAGCUUAUAUUAAAAUAAAAAGGUAAAAUCGAAAGCCAGCUGAAAAGUAGCUAUCAAACAAACUGAACAGGGUAAACCAUCUGAGGUGCAUGGCUAGGACAAAGAAGGGCCAACCUGUUUGUUGAAACAUGGUACAAAGAAUCUGGAUGCAGAUAUUGGAGAUUUAAUUUAUUUAGUUGAUUUGUGAAAAUUACGUGCAAUGCAACUAUCUGGAUUAUGUUGCUUGCAAUAUGCAGAUACAAGUACUUUAUUAUGUACCAGUCCGGGUAAAAAAAAAUUGUACUAGUGAACUUUUGUGGGUAAAUGUUUUGGUUGAACCA